rnacentral:sRNA from 1 species
UACUGUGGGUAAACAAAAGAAGCCCUGUGUGAACAGGACUUCCAAUGUAGAGCCGUUUAAGACGGUGGUAGCUUAAUAUUGGUUAAAUA